AUGCGGCUGCACAAAAAAAAAAAAAGCAGAAGGUGCUGCAGCAGUACUGGUGGCCAUGGUUCCCGUAGCCAGAAGGAGUUGCCCACAGAGCCCCCCAUACAAUAUACAUAGGAAAUCUACCUUUUAAUAUGGUUCAGGGUGAUAUAGAUGCUAUCUUUAAGGAUCUAAGCAUAAGGAGUAUACGGGUAGUCAGAGACAAAGACACAGAUAAAUUUAAAGAAUUCUGCUAUAUAGAAUUCAAUGAGGUGGAUUCCCUUAAGGAAGCUUUGACAUACGAUGGUGCACUGUUGGGUAAUCGGUCACUUCAUGUGGACACUGCAGAAGGCAGAAAACAAGAUAAAGGUGGCUCUGGAUUCAGAAAAGGUGGCCCAGAUGACGAGGAUUCAGGGAUGACUUCUUAGGAGGCAGGGGAGGUAGUCACCCAGAUGACUGGCCAACAGGCCCUGCAAUGGGCACCCACGUCAGAGAUGGUCCUCCCCUCCACGGAUCCAACAUGGAUUUCAAAGAACCAACAGAGGAGGGAAGAGCACAAAGACCAUGACUCCAGCUUAAACCUUGAACGGUUGUGAUGCCCCUCAAUCAAGUAGCCAAUCCCAACUCUGCUAUCUUCGGGGGUGCCAAACCCAGAGCGGAAUUCGUCCACAAGGAGCAAGAAUGAGCCUGCGGUUGGGAGGGAAUGGGACUUGGGGGGUUGGAGCAGGACCAUAGCCUGGUGAGUCCCUGGGCCGUGUUCCUGCUGCUUCUACUUCCGCACCUGACUGGCCUCCCCACAGUGAAAACACAGCUUGUUGAGUGCAUGCCAGCUGUUAACAAGUGGUUUUUAGUACAUGGUGGGCUUUGCUGUAUCUAUGUAGUGCCUGUUUGUGUGUUUUUUUCUUUCUACCACUGCUUCCCUAUUUUCCUUCUGUCCUUUUCCUCCCAGCUCCUUGUUUUCCUAGCAGCACAUGGGGUUCCCCGGAGGAUCGGAGGUGGCUGUGUGGGAGAGUCAUUUGGGCUGCGGUGCUGCAUCAUUUUUCUCCUUGGCUUUCUCUUUUUACCUUAGACACUGGCCUGACUCCAGGCGUUUCCUUUCAUUUCUUCAGUGUUUCUCUUCUGACCUGCAUGUUGAGUUCUGUAUUGCGUUGGCUUCCAACAAAAACCAGAAGUCACUGACAGACUGAACUGCAGUAUAGUAUUCAGCUGUGAUGGACAUAGAGAAUUGGAGGCACCUUGUUUUCACAACUAGGAUAAAAAUAGCUGUUAAUCCUUGCAAGGUCCUUUCCAUUUCUAUUGAGAGGGAGCCCUGGCUCCAUGACCCCUUCCCAAAGUGGACUGCCCAAAGGGAUAGGCUCACAUGAGAAACAGUGAGACCUGAAAGUGGAGACUGUGCAAUAGUGGUAGGGAGUCCAUGAAGAAGAUACAGUGAAUGUUCGUAUGUGUUCACGUGUUUUUGUUCCUGCUCUUUCGAGGUUGUGUCCCAGCUAGUUCACUCUUUUCACCAGACAUGGUCGAGGUUCCCCUCUCUGGCCAGCUGCAGUGAAUGGCCAGAUGGUUUCUUUUCUGCUGGGCCGAGGCACUUUGGGGGUUGGGGGUAGUGCUGGCACUGCACUUGGUUGACUGCAGUGCUGACACAGCGUUUCCCCAAAUCCCUGUUGCCUGUGUGUUUGUGUUUAUCUGUUCCUAAUACAGACAACAUAACGAGAUACUGUGCUUCCCACCUCCCCUUCAAUUCAUAGCCAAAAUGGUUCUAGAAUCUGGUACUUUACUCAUUUCCUUUGAUAAAUGAAAUUGUACUAUGCAGAGCUGUCAGGAAAUUUCAAAUAACCGUAUAGGACUUUAGCUGUCUAGGUCUGUGGCUGCAUCUUGGGGACACACUUGAUUGUUCCCAUGUGCAGGGUUCAGCACUUACCUGGGAGUGGUAGGGGUUAGGCUUUUGAGCUUGAAUGCCUAUGUGUGAACAGAUUAAAAAUGCUUCAGUACCCAAAUCCCAGUCUUCCCUUUGAGGAGCAGUUGGGGGAUGGCUGGCAGCAAGGUCCUAGGAAAGAGACCCUUGCCGGGUGAUGGCAGGGUGGGGCGCCCAGCGGAGUGUGCUUAGUAAUUGGUCACCGGCUGUCAUCCUUGGCUUCUCCUACUGUGUCUGUGUUACAAGUCCUCAGCAAUCCACAGAACUGACUCUCUCCUUCCUUCCACCUGUCAGCUUCUCUGCUUCUGAGAUAAGAACCAUUUCUGUAACACCAAUACUUAAGAAAGACAUGCAUUAUGUGGUGUAAUCAAGCCUGAUGCUUUCAGAUCAUCUACUUACAUCUUCAAUGUGGAUAAGAUAAAGAAACAAAACAAAUGCAUCUAAACUUCUGGGCAAUCCAGUUGAUUUUUAAAUGUAAGAAUGGAAUUCCAAACACAACACAUUCAGCUAUAUGACAGAAAGUAAAUCUAUGGAUAUGGUAUUUUGUGAAGGAUCUUUUCAACAAAAGAAACCCUUACGUAAUUUACACACACACACACACACACACACACACACACGGAAAGAUGGACUAACUACAACCCAAGUAGAGAAAAUAUGAACAAGGCCUGCUGGACAGUUACACAACCUUGCACCCAACAACUGUGGCAAAUGCGUUCUCUUCAAUCACAUGGAACGUGUGCAAAAACUGCCCAUAUACUGGGCCAUAAAGCAAAUUUCAAAGGACUGAAAUUAUGCCAAGUAUAUUGUCUGACUCCAAGGCAAUUAUGCUAGAAAAAAAUGACUAGAAAAAUCCCCAUGUAGGCUGGGCGUGGUCGCUCAUGCCUGCAAUCCCAACACUUUAGGAGGCCAAGAUGGGCAGACCAAUUGAGGUCAGGGGUUCAAGACCAGCCUGGCCAACAUGACAAACCCCAUCUCUACUAAAAAUACAAUAAAAUUAGCUGGAUGUGGUGG